rnacentral:rRNA from 1 species
UACGUAGGGGGCUAGCGUUGCUCGGAAUCAUUGGGCGUAAAGCGCACGUAGGCGGCUUUGCAAGUCGGAUGUGAAAUCCCUCGGCUCAACCAAGGAAGUGCAUCCGAAACUGCAGAGCUUGAGUACUUAAGAGGAUCGCGGAAUUCCCGGUGUAGAGGUGAAAUUCGUAGAUAUCGGGAGGAACACCAGUGGCGAAGGCGGCGAUCUGGGAAGAUACUGACGCUGAGGUGCGAAAGCGUGGGGAGCAAACAGG